GGUAGGCGUCCCUGAGUGUCCAUGGUAACCAGUGGAGCCGACUCUGGUCCAGCGCAAUCCCCGGGCGUCAGAAAAGCGAUGGCAGCCCGAGUGCCCAGAGCGACGUGGGAGGAGCGCCGUACGCAGUCUCCUCCAAUCCCAGCGGUCGUCCGGCAACCUUGUACCUCCAACGACAAGAUGGAGUCUAGGCUCAGUCGCCUCCGGGGAACCGUGCUGUGAGGCAGGGCAUGGGGAAGGGCCGCAGCCCCACCGGCCCAGCUGAAGCAGCCGGCCCGCGUCGCUGCCGGGAGGGCUGGCCUGGGCCCCUCCCAAGGACCAGCAGACUGGACACGUGGCAGAGCCGACCACGCCUGUCACGGAUGGAGCUCAGACCCUGAAAAUGGAUACAACAGCUAACACUGAGUCAAGCUCUGGAAGCUCAUUGCCGACACGUGUGCUGAGGAAUGCAAGACACAUCGUUGGAGAUUGAGGGACCCAGGCGUAAUAAUCCACCGACAUAUGGUCGAACCAGCUACGAUGAAAAAAAAGGUUUUAAUAAAAUUGUAUGAAAAUGGUAGAACAGUAGGUGAAGCAGCUGCCAUCGCUGGUAUUAACAAUACGGCAAAGUCAGUUAUUGACCACUAUAAGAAAAAUGGCUGUGUUGAUAGAAAAAAACGUGGAGGUAAGAGAAAUAGCAAGUUGAACGCCUCGAUAUUAAACAAAAUUGAGCAAAUAAUUGAAGAAAAUCCGUGUGUAACUUGAAAAGGAAUUCGUGACAAGAUUCUCGAAUCUGAACAUGUAGAACUAAGCACAAGUUCUAUAGAGAAUGGGCUGAAACGGUUAAGGAUCACAUUCAAGUGUGCAUCUGUACAAGCUCAUACUCGAAACUCAGAAUUACUGAGAUAAUGCAGAAUGUGUUAAAUUUUUCUCAAAAUAUCCCUGAAGCAAGACAAAAACAAUAUUCACUGACAAGUUAUGUUUAUUACUAUAUACAUGCAAUAAAAUGAUUUUAAUUGCCAUUUUUGGCGAACAAGGGCCCAAUGGGAAGUUACGCACUAGCCCGUGCGGCCGUGCGCACGAUCAGAGGGCGAACUGGUGCCCUCGUUGUAGCCAUAAGCACGCGGGAUGGUGUCGCAUGAAGCGCGUGCACAUUCCUCAAUCACUUCAAAUAGUUUCUGCGCCUUCCUCCGCAGGCGCCUGGGGGACGGAUGAGUAUAAUUUGGAGGACGUGUGGUUGGUUUUGGACAAUGUCAGUACGUGAUCUUGUUGGUCAGACGAGGCAUGCCUUAUUAUUUCUGCCACCGUGUUCUCCAUUGAUGAAUCCCAUGGAAGAAGUUUUUUCACCGGUUAAGUUCUGUGCGAGUGAUAUUUUGGCAGAUGCUUCAAACCAUGAACGUUGAACUGAUGUUAUUAGUCAUUCUGUAGCGACUGUUACACCUGCAGACUGUCACAAGUACUUUAUGAAUAUGUAUAUGAAACUGCCACGCAGCAGCGGGAGAACCACUGUAAGGGAGAUUGUAAGUAAAUUAGUAUUUCUGAUGUAAAAAAGUAUAUUAUGUUUAUUACUAUAUACAUGCAAUAAAAUAAUUUU